rnacentral:rRNA from 1 species
UACGUAGGCAGCGAGCGUUGUUCGGAGUUACUGGGCGUAAAGGGUGUGUAGGCGGUCCUCUAAGUUUGGUGUGAAAUCUCCCGGCUCAACCGGGAGGGUGCGCCGAAAACUGGGGGGCUAGAGUGCGGGAUGGGUAAGUGGAAUUCCUGGUGUAGCGGUGAAAUGCGUAGAUAUCAGGAGGAACACCUGUGGUGUAGACGGCUUACUGGACCGCAACUGACGCUGAGACACGAAGGCGUGGGUAGCAAACAGG